rnacentral:siRNA from 1 species
UAGAGCUGUGUGUCGCCGUCGA